GUGUCAGCAGCCGCGGUAAUACGGAGGAUCCAAGCGUUGUCCGGAUUUAUUGGGUUUAAAGGGUGCGUAGGCGGACCAUUAAGUCAGAGGUGAAAGUUUGCAGCUUAACUGUAAAAUUGCCUUUGAAACUGGCGGUCUUGAGUAUAGUUGAGGUGGGCGGAAUGUGUCAUGUAGCGGUGAAAUGCUUAGAUAUGAUACAGAACACCAAUUGCGAAGGCAGCUCACUAAACUAAAACUGACGCUGAGGCACGAAAGCGUGGGGAGCAAACAGGAUUAGAUACCCUGGUAGUCC
rnacentral:rRNA from 1 species